rnacentral:rRNA from 1 species
AUUGAACGCUGGCGGCAGGCCUAACACAUGCAAGUCGAACGGUAACAGGAAGCAGCUUGCUGCUUUGCUGACGAGUGGCGGACGGGUGAGUAAUGUCUGGGAAACUGCCCGAUGGAGGGGGAUAACUACUGGAAACGGUAGCUAAUACCGCAUAACGUCGCAAGACCAAAGAGGGGGACCUUAGGGCCUCUUGCCAUCGGAUGUGCCCAGAUGGGAUUAGCUAGUAGGUGGGGUAACGGCUCACCUAGGCGACGAUCCCUAGCUGGUCUGAGAGGAUGACCAGCCACACUGGAACUGAGACACGGUCCAGACUCCUACGGGAGGCAGCAGUGGGGAAUAUUGCACAAUGGGCGCAAGCCUGAUGCAGCCAUGCCGCGUGUAUGAAGAAGGCCUUCGGGUUGUAAAGUACUUUCAGCGGGGAGGAAGGGAGUAAAGUUAAUACCUUUGCCCAUUGACGUUACCCGCAGAAGAAGCACCGGCUAACUCCGUG